rnacentral:rRNA from 1 species
UACGGGGGGAGCAAGGCGUUGUUCGGAUUUACUGGGCGUAAAGGGCGCAGUAGGCGGUCAGCACAAGUCAGUUGUGAAAUCUCCGGGCUUAACUCGGAAAGGUCAACUGAUACUGUGCGACUAGAGUGCGGAAGGGGCAACUGGAAUUCUCGGUGUAGCGGUGAAAUGCGUAGAUAUCGAGAGGAACACCUGCGGCGAAGGCGGGUUGCUGGGCCGACACUGACGCUGAUGCGCGAAAGCCAGGGGAGCGAACGGG